GGGCGGGCGAGGGCAGCUGCCCGACUCGGGGGCUGCGGGGGCCGGUGACUCACUCGCUGCGGGAGACAAAGCGCAGCUGCUUUCCUCCUGGGGCGCUCCACGUGCCACUCCAGGCUCCUAGUGCCUCCCGAGUCGCAGACUGGCAGAAACGGAGAAAGUUGGAGAUGUCGCCAUUUGCCCACUGGGCAUCUUUUCCUACUCCCUUCGGAUUUGAGACCUUAGCCCAGAUCAAAGGCAAUUCCGAAACAAUCUACACCCCGGGCGGUUUAAGAUCCGUCAUAAAAUUCAGAUAAGAUAAAGUUCUGAUAACUGGAUAGGACUUCUGAAGCAACCUGUAUGAGAAGCCCACGCUAACAGAACCCAACAGGUGUCAAACUAUUGCUUGAAGACCUCCAGUAAGGGGAGACCUACUUGAGGGGCAGCACCUUCCACUUUGGGACAGCUGCAGUUGUCCCGGAAAUUUUUCCUUACCUCUAUCAGAAACCUGCCUCCUUGAACCUUCUGAUUACAUCUGGGUGUAGAGGUAAAAAUUCUGAGUUUCCAAACAAAUAAUGAAGACUUUUUUUCCCAUUCCCAGCAUACCUCUCUCCUUCCCCCAGUAGUUCUUUCAAUGAAUGCAUCUGGUGGUGGGGCUUAGCACAAGACUCUGGUUCUUGGGCUUUGACCCAUGCCUAAAGGGAAGCCCGGUGAUACAUAGUUGAAAUGACACAUUUUUGUUGUCUUCUUUGUUAUUGUUAUGUCAGAAAUCCUCAGCCGAAAUCCAGCCUUUGGAUUAUUUUUGUAAUUUAGGCCAGUGACUUAAUCUACAUCUCCUCAUCUGUAAAAUGUAGGCCUCUGAAGUUUAUAACUAAAUACAUCUAUAAUAUUAUGAUCCUGUUCCAGAUCCCAUCUCAUAUUUUCAUCUGAGUAACAGGAAAGAAGUUGGGGUCUCAUUGGUUGCAACAUUAUAUAGGGGUCCUUGAGUUGAAAUUCUAUACAGAGGGAAUACCACAAUUAGAGUGAUCUUCCUUAA
rnacentral:lncRNA from 1 species